AGAGAAUGGCGUGGACCCGGGAGGUGGAGCUUGCAGUGAGCCGAGAUCGCGCCACUGCACUCCAGCCUGGGCGACAGGU
rnacentral:snRNA from 1 species